rnacentral:rRNA from 1 species
AAGGUUGACCUCGGAUCAGGUAGGAAGACCCGCUGAACUUAAGCAUAUCAAUAAGCGGAGGAAAAGAAACCAACAGGGAUUGCCCUAGUAACGGCGAGUGAAGCGGCAACAGCUCAAAUUUGAAAUCUGGCUUCGGCCCGAGUUGUAAUUUGCAGAGGAAGCUUUAGGCGCGGCACCUUCUGAGUCCCCUGGAACGGGGCGCCAUAGAGGGUGAGAGCCCCGUAUAGUUGGAUGCCUAGCCUGUGUAAAGCUCCUUCGACGAGUCGAGUAGUUUGGGAAUGCUGCUCAAAAUGGGAGGUAAAUUUCUUCUAAAGCUAAAUACCGGCCAGAGACCGAUAGCGCACAAGUAGAGUGAUCGAAAGAUGAAAAGCACUUUGAAAAGAGGGUUAAAUAGCACGUGAAAUUGUUGAAAGGGAAGCGCUUGUGACCAGACUUGCGCCGGGCUGAUCAUCCGGUGUUCUCACCGGUGCACUCUGCCCGGCUCAGGCCAGCAUCGGUUCUCGCGGGGGGAUAAAGGUUCCGGGAACGUAGCUCCUCCGGGAGUGUUAUAGCCCGGGGCGUAAUGCCCUCGCGGGGACCGAGGUUCGCGCAUCUGCAAGGAUGCUGGCGUAAUGGUCAUCAGCGACCCGUCUUGAAACACGGACCAAGGAGUCAAGGUUUUGCGCGAGUGUUUGGGUGUAAAACCCGCACGCGUAAUGAAAGUGAACGUAGGUGAGAGCUUCGGCGCAUCAUCGACCGAUCCUGAUGUUUUCGGAUGGAUUUGAGUAGGAGCGUUAAGCCUUGGACCCGAAAGAUGGUGAACUAUGCUUGGAUAGGGUGAAGCCAGAGGAAACUCUGGUGGAGGCUCGCAGCGGUUCUGACGUGCAAAUCGAUCGUCAAAUCUGAGCAUGGGGGCGAAAGACUAAUCGAACCAUCUAGUAGCUGGUUACCGCCGAAG